GUCCUUUAGAUGUUAAUUUAAGGUCUAACCUGCCCACUGAAUUAUUUUAAAUGGCCGCAGUAAUUUGACUGUGCAAAGGUAGCAUAAUCAUUAGUUUUUUAAUUGAAAGCUUGUAUGAAAGGUUGGACGAAGUAAAAUCUGUCUCUAAUUAAAUUAAUUUAGAAUUUAACUUUUAAGUUAAAAGGCUUAAAUUUAACUAAAAGACGAGAAGACCCUAUAGCUCUUUAUAUUUAAAUUAAUAAAUUUAAUUAAGAAUUUUUAAAAUUUUAUUAAUUUAAUUAUUUUAUUGGGGUAAUAUAAAGAUUAAAAUAAUUCUUUUUUUUUAUUAACAUUAAUUUAUGAUUUUGAUGAUCCAAUUAUAUUGAUUUUAAGAUUAAGUUACCUUAGGGAUAACAGCGUAAUUUUUUUAGAGAGUUCUUAUCGAUAAAAAAGUUUGCGACCUCGAUGUUGGAUUAAAGAUUAUUUUAGGUGUAGAAGCUUAAAAAUUUUGGUCUGUUCGACCAUUAAAUCUUUACAUGAUCUGAGUUCAGACCGGUGUAAGCCAGGUCGGUUUCUAUCUUUAGUAAAUUAAAAUAUUUUAGUACGAAAGGACCAAUUAUUUAAUAUAAAUAUUUAAAUUUUGAUUAUUAUUAA
rnacentral:rRNA from 1 species